GCUACUUCUAAAAAUAAGUAGUGUAGCCUGGUCAGUGAUUAUUUAAUAUUUAAAUAAUUAAACACACGCCUUAUAAUGAGGGUGAUAAUGUAGCAUAAUAAUUUGACAUUUAAUUGGUGUAUUGUAUGAAUGGUAUUAUGAUUCUUUAUUUGUCUCAAUGCUAUAUUUUACUAAAUUAAAAUAAUUAUAAAAAUAUAAUUUAAAUAAUAUAAGACGAAAAGACCCCAUAAACCUUUACUAAAUAUUGUUUAACUGGGACGGUUAUCUUUUAAAAUAACAAAGAUUAUAAAAUUUUUUCUAAUAUGAAUUGAUUGACCACUUUUACGUAAAGAAGUUUAAAAAGAUAAUAGGUACUUUGGGGGUAACAGAGCAAUAUAAUAUUGAAGAUGACAUUUAAUGUUAAGUUUGCUACCUCGAUGUUGAAUUAAAUUUUCCAAAGGUGUAGAAGCUAAUAAGGUAGGACUGUUCGUCCUUUAAAAAUUU
rnacentral:rRNA from 1 species